AUUGUUUCUGUCUCCAGCGGUUGGGAGCGCGCUGGCGUUGCCUGUGGGCUUGGGCCCCCUGCGCCGGGGCGGAGCGGGCAGCGAGGCUGGCGGGAGAUGCUGGGCUGCUCUGGAGAGCGCGCAACCGGCGUGCUCACCCUGUUAAGGCUCAGCUCUUCGCUGUGCCCAGAUCCACACAGGUAGCCCUCAACCGCCGCCCGGGAAGUCGGUGCUCUUAUUAGCUUCAAUUUCCGGACAAGGAAGUGAGGCACAGAGAUUCAGUUCAUCGAAAACCCAGAGGUAGCCCACCGUGUGACUCAGCGGCACGGAAAACAUCAGAGUCAUUGACUUCGGCGUGGCAAAGUGGGAUCUCACACAUGGUACUUUAUCAAAUAAAGGGCACCGGCA
rnacentral:lncRNA from 1 species